rnacentral:misc_RNA from 1 species
UGGGGGCGAAUGCCCAUCUACAGUGAUCAUUCAAUUGCCCUAGUUGUACCAAACUGAGCAUCUUCAUCCCAAUGGAUGCACUGUCCAGAGACAAUCUCACGGAGAUUGGCCAGGGAGAUAGGGGGACAUGGCGCAUGUUGUUCAGAAUAUUGGUCUUGUCCCUAACCCUAACGUGCCUUGGAAUCAAUAUAGCUACUAUAGCUAAGCUAGAUGGCAUCAACACCAACAAAGUGCAAAUAUGGACCACCAAUGAAUCGGAUAGGGUGAUCGGCUCUCUCACUAGCACUCUGAAAGUGCCCAUUAAUCAGGUAAACGAUAUGUUCAGAAUUGUAGCCUUAGAUCUGCCCCUCCAGAUGACCACACUUCAGAAAGAGAUUGCCUCGCAAGUCGGCUUCCUAGCUGAAAGCAUCAACAAUGUCCUGUCAAAGAACGGAUCUGCAGGAUUGGUCCUAGUCAAUGACCCCGAGUAUGCAGGUGGUAUAGGGGUGAGCCUGUUCCAGGGAGACUCUGCAUCUAACCUCAACUUUGAUGAACCUUACUUAAUUGAGCACCCGAGCUUUAUUCCUGGGCCCACCACUGCAAAGGGGUGUAUCCGGAUACCCACAUUUCACAUGUCUACAUCCCAUUGGUGUUACUCUCACAACAUCAUUGCAAAUGGCUGUCAGGAUGCUAGCCACUCCAGCAUGUACAUAUCACUGGGAGUCCUGAAGGCUACGAGGACUGGGUCUCCAAGUUUCUUGACAACAGCCAGCCAACUAGUGGAUGACCAACUUAAUAGGAAAUCAUGCAGCAUCAUCUCCACAACAUACGGGUGUGAUAUCUUAUGCAGUUUGGUAGUAGAGAAUGAGGAUGCUGACUAUCGGUCUGACCCGCCCACUGACAUGAUCCUUGGACGACUUUUCUUCAAUGGCACCUACUCUGAGAGGAAGCUGAACACAAGCGGAAUUUUCCAACCGUUUUCCGCAAAUUAUCCUGCAGUUGGGUCUGGGUUAGUGCUAGGGGAUGAGAUUUUGUUCCCAGUUUAUGGGGGUGUAAAGCAAGAUACAUGGUUAUUUAAUCUGCUAAAAGACCAUGGGUACUUCGCACACAACGAUGUGUACAGGUGUGACAAGAACAACACUCAUCAGACCAUUCUCAACUCGUAUCGGCCCCCAAAGAUAUCGGGAAGGCUGUGGUCACAGGUUGUUCUAAUCUGUCCACUGGGUCUGUUCAUCAACACUGACUGCAGGAUUAAAGUGUUUAACACCAGCACAGUGAUGAUGGGCGCGGAAGCCAGAUUGAUUCAAGUGGGCUCCGAUAUCUACCUAUAUCAGCGGUCAUCGUCAUGGUGGGUUGUGGGACUAACAUAUAAACUAGAUUACCAGGAGUUGUCAUCCAAAGACAGUGUUGUUCUAAACAAGGUAUCUCCGAUUGCCCAUGCAAAGUUUCCCCGACCAUCUUUUGCAAGAGAUGCUUGUGCGCGGCCGAACAUAUGCCCAGCGGUUUGUGUAUCCGGGGUGUAUCAGGAUAUCUGGCCGAUUAGUACUGCACAGAACUUGAGCCAGAUAGUUUGGUUGGGGCAAUAUCUCGAAGCAUUCUAUGCUCGGAAAGGCCCGUGGAUUGGGAUUGCAACUCAGUAUGACUGGAAAAGAAAUGUCAGGCUCUUCAAUCAUAACACCGAGAGCGGUUACUCAACCACCACUUGCUUCAGGAAUACAAAGAGGGACAAAGCAUUCUGUGUUAUAAUUUCCGAAUAUGCGGACGGAGUAUUCGGAGUCGUACCGAAUUGUCCCGCAGCUGAUAGAGGUAAGAAUAGCAGGUAAGAAGGAACUCCCCAAUUGACGGCCCUGUUAGAUGUACCAUGGUGCUAAAAGUAGAUUCAUAGUACCUUUUGCUCUACAUGUAGUUUAAUAAAAAA